AUGUUCCACUGGCAGGCCACUAUCAUGGGACCCUCGGACAGCCUAUUUACUGGUGGUCUAUUUUUGGUGAACAUCCAUUUCCCACUGGAUUAUCCCUUCAAGCCCCCGAAGGUCUCUUUCCGCACCAAGGUGUUCCACCCAAACAUCAACAACAACGGCAGCAUUUGCCUCGACAUUCUCAAGGAACAGUGGAGCCCGACUUUGACCAUAUCAAAGGUCCUCCUGUCAAUCUGUUCGUUGCUGACGGACCCCAAUCCCAAUGAUCCUCUGGUGCCUGAGAUUUGUCACAUGUACAAGACUGAUUGGGCCAAGUAUGAGUGUGCCUGGACACAGAAGUACGCCAUGGGUGGAUGUAUAGGCAAGCAAUGUCGAGAGAGUUCUUCUCACCUAUAG
rnacentral:rRNA from 1 species